GGUGGCUCAGUAGUAGAGUGCUUGCCUUGCAUGCAUGAAGCCCUGGGUUCGAUUCCUCAGCACCA
rfam:Dipodomys ordii contig_73408, whole genome shotgun sequence.